rnacentral:lncRNA from 1 species
CUGUAAUAGAUUGCACGUUCUAAAAAUGGCCACAAUAUUUCUAGUUCCAUAUGCUCUUCCAGAAUAGUCUUGCCACUCUCCAUUGAGAGGUAGAGUCUAUUUCUUGAACAUGAGUGGGUUGUUGUUGCUUUGACCAGUAGAGUACAGCAGAGGCGAUGCUCUCUGAUUUCUGAAGCUAGGUUAUGAAAAGAAUGUGACUUUUGUCUGAUUCUCUCUUUCUAUCUCUAUCUCUUUAUCUCUCUUGCUGUCUCUCUCUUCACUUAUCCUUGGAAUCCAGUCACCAAGCUGUGAAGAAGCCAAGCAGUUCUCAUGGAAAAACCACAUAUAUGUAUUUCUGCCAAGAGGCCCAGCCAAGAUCCCAGCAACAGCCAGCAUCAACUACCAGACAUAAACCGGCCGGGUGGAGGAUGCAGCCGGGCGUGGUGGCUACAAGGAAGUGCCCUGGUGUUAAGAACUCAGCCUCUGAAACCCGCCGCCCAGCUUCGAGUCAGCGACGUACUUUUGUUGUCCCGGCCUUAGUAUCCCCGCUGCAAUAAGAGGUACUCAGCUCAAACCAUCUGGGUGAGGAUUAAAGGAGUUCAUAUCCAUAAAGGACUAGAACAGGUCCUGGCACCACGUAAACAUUCUUAUCAUCAAAUGUGAAAAAACAAAGUUCUCUAAGAUUUCGAAAGUGAACAGGUUAUUUUUCUACGGAGUAUUUGUGUCUGUUUCAACGUAAAAUUCAAGAUUUUUCUUUGUGAUUGAUGAAUGCGUGCUACUUUAGGAAUCUAGUGACUUUUGAAC